AGUCGUAACAAGGUUUCCGUAGGUGAACCUGCGGAAGGAUCAUUCACAAGAUUAUAAUAUUUUAUUACUUUGUGGAAAAUUUGGUUGAAUUUACAUGUUUUAUUACAAAAAAUUAAUUAUAAUUAAAAAAAUAAUUUUAAGAAAACCUCCAACAACGGAUCUCUUGGUUCCCAGAUCGAUGAAGAGCGCAGCGAAUUGCGAAAUGUGAUGUGUAUUGCAGUGAAUCAUCAAUUCUUGAACGCACAUGGCACCCCUUUUAGGGGUAUGCUUGUAUGAGGGUGUUUAAUAUGAAAUUGCUUUGGCUUUUUUUAAAUAAAUGGUUUUUCAAACAUUGUUACUAAUAAAGAUGAAAGAAUCAGUGCAACAAGCUGUGUUGAAUCUUUCAAUUAAAAUCUUUUUUAGUUAACAUUUUUUAACUAUUUACGCCUCAUAUCAAGCAAGACUACCCGCUGAACUUAAGCAUAUCAAUAAGCGGAGGA
rnacentral:misc_RNA from 1 species